AAUAUUGGAAAUCAAUAUUAUUAAAUUUGAACUUAAAAUCUCAAUUUAAAUUUAAAUUUAAACAAAAAAUUUAAACUUAAAUUUAAAUUUAAAAUAAAAUUUAAAUUUAAAUUUUUACUUUGAAUUCGAAACCUAAAUUACAUUUAAAAUUUAAAUUCAAAAUCAAAAUAUAAAUUUAAAUUUGAAAGUUUGAAUUCAAAAUAUGAAUGUAAAUUGAAAUUUGAAUUUCAUAUUAAAUUUGAAUUCAAAAUUUAAAUGAAUUUA
rnacentral:lncRNA from 1 species